rnacentral:rRNA from 1 species
AUUGAACGCUGGCGGCAUGCCUUACACAUGCAAGUCGAACGGCAGCACGGGUGCUUGCACCUGGUGGCGAGUGGCGAACGGGUGAGUAAUACAUCGGAACGUACCUUAUCGUGGGGGAUAACGCAGCGAAAGCUGUGCUAAUACCGCAUACGCCCUGAGGGGGAAAGCGGGGGAUCGAAAGACCUCGCGCGAUUAGAGCGGCCGAUGCCUGAUUAGCUUGUUGGUGGGGUAAAAGCCCACCAAGGCGACGAUCAGUAGCGGGUCUGAGAGGACGAUCAGCCGCACUGGGACUGAGACACGGCCCAGACUCCUACGGGAGGCAGCAGUGGGGAAUUUUGGAGAAUGGGGGCAACCCUGAUCCAGCAAUGCCGCGUGAGUGAAGAAGGCCUUCGGGUUGUAAAGCUCUUUUGUCAGGGAAGAAACACCGGCUCUAACACAGUCCGGGAAUGACGGUACCUGAAGAAUAAGCACCGGCUAACUACGUGCCAGCCGCCGCGGUAA